UACGUAGGGGGGCAAGCGUUGUCCGGAUUCAUUGGGCGUAAAGAGCGUGUAGGCGGCCAGGUAGGUCGGUUGUGAAAACUGGAGGCUCAACCUUCAGAGGUCGACCGAAACCAUCUGGCUAGAGUCCGGGAGAGGAGAGUGGAAUUCCUGGUGUAGCGGUGAAAUGCGCAGAUAUCAGGAAGAACACCCGUGGCGAAAGCGGCUCUCUGGAACGGUACUGACGCUGAGACGCGAAAGCAUGGGUAGCGAACAGG
rnacentral:rRNA from 1 species